CUGGAAGAAGGCCAGUGGUGGAAAAAGCAUUCCUUUAGUUGAGUGGCAAAACCACAGAGAGAAAACACUUCAUUCAAAUGAAUCCUCAGUGAUUGGUCCCUUGCAGAAGCUCAGGCUCAGAGGCGAACAGCUCCUUGUAGAGAGGCGGAAACAGAGAGUGAGCAGUGAGCGGGUAACGCAGACUGAACCAGCGCAGCUUCUCCAUGUGCAGACUGCACAGUGAACGCAACACCGCCAUCUUCUGGGACAGCUGCAGAGAGAUGGAGACACAGAGAGGAAUUUGCUUGGUUGUCACGGUGAAGGAUUUGUGCGAUUCCUAAUUCCACGCUUCUUUGCACUCGCUGAACCCUGCUUCUGUCCUCCAGACAUGGACGAUCUGCAUGAAGACACAAGAAGACAAAUAGUUUUUUGAAAGCAUACAACUUGGCAUUGUAUUAAAUCCCUAAAUGUGGUAGGUGUGAAUAGUAGUGUGUGGUCUAAAAAGUAUAAGGAUGACAUGUCUAUUAACAGCCACUGGGGGGCAAAAAGAGUUAAACCAAAAGGAUGGAUAUCUGUCAACCAAUUUGGUGUCUGUCUUCAUUUCAAAUUGAAAUUAAAGUAUCUUAAAAAGAGGAAAAUCAGGAACUAUUUUGUUACAAAAACACAAAAAAAUAUCGAAAGAUGGAUCGUCAGACUGCGCCCCUGUGCAAUAAAUGUGGAAGGGAGGUUGGAACCUACUACCACUGUUUUUGGCAGUGCAAACUGAUCAAAAGAUUCUGGGGUGCAAUUUCGAAAGUGGCAUUUUCUGGACCUGCAUCAAGAGGGACUCAGGCCUAUUCAUUCUCAGCCUCCCCUCAAAAUCAGUUGAAUUAACACGCCCACAUUUUAAACUGUGACAAACUGCUGUUAUUGGCUAGAAAAUGUAUU